rnacentral:rRNA from 1 species
GACGAACGCUGGCGGCGUGCUUAACACAUGCAAGUCGGACGGAAAGGCCCUGCUUGCAGGGUACUCGAGUGGCGAACGGGUGAGUAACACGUGGGUGAUCUGCCCUGCACUUCGGGAUAAGCCUGGGAAACUGGGUCUAAUACCGGAUAGGAGCCAUUUUUAGUGUGAUGGUUGGAAAGUUUUUUCGGUGUAGGAUGAGCUCGCGGCCUAUCAGCUUGUUGGUGGGGUAAUGGCCUACCAAGGCGGCGACGGGUAGCCGGCCUGAGGGGGUGGACGGCCACAUUGGGACUGAGAUACGGCCCAGACUCCUACGGGAGGCAGCAGUGGGGAAUAUUGCACAAUGGGCGCAAGCCUGAUGCAGCGACGCCGCGUGGGGGAUGACGGCCUUCGGGUUGUAAACUCCUUUCGCUAGGGACGAAGCUUUUUGUGACGGUACCUAGAUAAGAAGCACCGGCUAACUACGUG